rnacentral:rRNA from 1 species
ACGGAAGGCAGCAGUGGGGAAUAUUGCACAAUGGGCGAAAGCCUGAUGCAGCGACGCCGCGUGAACGAAGAAGUAUUUCGGUAUGUAAAGUUCUAUCAGCAGGGAAGAUAAUGACGGUACCUGACCAAGAAGCACCGGCUAAAUACGUGCCAGCAGCCGCGGUAAUACGUAUGGUGCAAGCGUUAUCCGGAUUUACUGGGUGUAAAGGGAGCGCAGGCGGCGCGGCAAGUCUGAAGUGAAAUCCCGGGGCUCAACCCCGGAACUGCUUUGGAAACUGUCGUGCUAGAGUGUCGGAGGGGUAAGCGGAAUUCCUAGUGUAGCGGUGAAAUGCGUAGAUAUUAGGAGGAACACCAGUGGCGAAGGCGGCUUACUGGACGAUAACUGACGCUGAGGCUCGAAAGCGUGGGGAGCAAACAGGAUUAGAUACCCUGGUA